rnacentral:pre_miRNA from 1 species
GGAUUCCUGGCAGAGUGAUUUGGCAAUGUAUGGUACAAAAUCACAUUGCCAGGGAUUUCCA